CCAAGGCUAAAUACUCCUGACUGACCGAUAGUGAACCAGUACCGUGAGGGAAAGGCGAAAAGAACCCCGGCGAGGGGAGUGAAAAAGAACCUGAAACCGUGUACGUACAAGCAGUGGGAGCACAGAGCAAUCUGUGUGACUGCGUACCUUUUGUAUAAUGGGUCAGCGACUUAUAUUCUGUAGCAAGGUUAACCGAAUAGGGGAGCCGAAGGGAAACCGAGUCUUAACUGGGCGUUAAGUUGCAGGGUAUAGACCCGAAACCCGGUGAUCUAGCCAUGGGCAGGUUGAAGGUUGGGUAACACUAACUGGAGGACCGAACCGACUAAUGUUGAAAAAUUAGCGGAUGACUUGUGGCUGGGGGUGAAAGGCCAAUCAAACCGGGAGAUAGCUGGUUCUCCCCGAAAGCUAUUUAGGUAGCGCCUCGUGAAUUCAUCUCCGGGGGUAGAGCACUGUUUCGGCAAGGGGGUCAUCCCGACUUACCAACCCGAUGCAAACUGCGAAUACCGGAGAAUGUUAUCACGGGAGACACACGGCGGGUGCUAACGUCCGUCGUGAAGAGGGAAACAACCCAGACCGCCAGCUAAGGUCCCAAAGUCAUGGUUAAGUGGGAAACGAUGUGGGAAGGCCCAGACAGCCAGGAUGUUGGCUUAGAAGCAGCCAUCAUUUAAAGAAAGCGUAAUAGCUCACUGGUCGAGUCGGCCUGCGCGGAAGAUGUAACGGGGCUAAACCAUGCACCGAAGCUGCGGCAGCGACGCU
rnacentral:rRNA from 1 species